GCGGCUGUAGCUCAACAGUAGAGUACUCCCCUGUCACGGGAGAGGUCGUGGGGGCAGCACCCAUCAGCCGCGCAA
rnacentral:tRNA from 7 species